CGGUGGUGUGAAGAAGGCCUGAGGGUUGUAAAGCACUUUCAAUUGUGAAGAAGGCAGUAAGGUUAAUACCCUUGCUGCUUGACGUUNGCUUUANAAGAAGCACCGGCUNACUCUGUGCCAGCAGCCGCGGUAA
rnacentral:rRNA from 1 species